UACAGAGGGGGCAAGCGUUGUUCGGAAUUACUGGGCGUAAAGGGCGCGUAGGCGGCCUUCUAAGUCGAACGUGAAAUCCCCGGGCUCAACCCGGGAACUGCAUCCGAUACUGGAUGGCUUGAAUCCGGGAGAGGGAUGCAGAAUUCCAGGUGUAGCGGUGAAAUGCGUAGAUAUCUGGAGGAAUACCGGUGGCGAAGGCGGCAUCCUGGACCGGCAUUGACGCUGAUGAGCGAAAGCUAGGGGAGCAAACGGG
rnacentral:rRNA from 1 species